GCUCGGAGCAGCUGCCCCUGGAAAGCGGAGGGCUCCGGGAGCACGGGAGCCCGAGGUUCACGGGCUGCUGGACCCUGCACUCACUGCAGGCUCCGGGCAGGAGAGGCUGGCCCGUCUGUGCGGUCCUCAGGUACUGAGAGGAGGCUACAGCCACAAGGAGCUCCCCAGCAUCACCUGGUGUGUUAAAAUAAGAUGGGCGGCAGGAAAGCCAGUGUCAGAGGGAGGGGUUCUGCUGAAGGCAGCAAAUGCUCGGGGCCACUGUCUGGUUCGUGUGAUCAGGACCUGCAAACGUAACACAGCAUCAGCAGUCGUUGUUGCACAAUCCUUCUGUGAAUGGAGGCACUCCAGCGACCAGCCCCAGCCCACAGGAAAGCAGGGACAGGAUCUCAAGAGCCCCCAGACCCUUUGUCACAAGAGAGGUUUUGGAUAUCAGCACCAAACCUUCUCUGGACUUCACUGGAGCCCUCUGUGUGUAGCUGCCAGUAAGAAGAGGGGGUUCAAAGCUCAUGGACUCCAGUGAUGGACACCAGUCAUCCAUAGCUCUUGGAGAGCAAUUUGAGAAGCAGGAAGAUGAUAAAGGACAGACAAAAUUGCACAAGACAGGUAAAUUCCUUGUAAUUUGUCUGUCCCUACAGGAAUCUCUUCUCCCUUCACACUGUUUCAUUAAGAAGCCUCUUGCCUACUGUAAUUAGCCCUUGAAUAAACACCAUGUCUGCAACACAA